GGGUGUUAGGCUUGGCUCGGAACGAGAUACAUCGAUACGACCUAUUCUCGCAGGCAGCCACCCGCGAGAGCACCGCUUAUUUUCUUUCCGCUCGUACUUACGUAGGCCCGCCCGGUAGCCUCGAGUAAAAUCGAUCGCGUACGAGCGAAAGUAAACCGUCGUUCGUCGCUCGACUCCGACGUUACAUCACGCGUGUCAUCCUCGUCUCGUUGAUUGUCGGCCGUGCAACGGCCAAUAAUCGCGAUAGGCACCGUGAUCGCUCGAGAGAGAUCGACGAAGGACUCGCUCCGCCGCUUGCUCGUCGCUUCGUCGCUAUACGUCGUCCGUGCCUUUUAUCGUUUCUCGCGUGUACGCGUUUCUGGCUGUCGGUAUUUCCUAUUUACUAUUUGCUACUCGCUACUUGCUAUUUACCGCGAUUGAGAAAUCACCGAUCGCGUACGAAAGGAGAGGUUGGAAAAAGGGGUAAAGACGAGGUUGAGAUCUAGCGAAAACCGAGCCUACCGAGACAAAUC
rnacentral:misc_RNA from 1 species